GUUUAACAGACUAGAACGCAAUUCAAAUAUGUUGAAUAUUAUCACAACAUAAUUAAUAUAUUUGCAGUGCAAGCAAUAGCUACAUAUGACUAGUGAGUCACCAUAUAGUCCAUACCAUUUGUUCAAAUUACUAAUUAGCACAUCUGUGAAAGCAUCCAAGAACAUGUGUUUUUCAGUUGACUGCGUUCGUAUGAAGGACUUGAGAAUCUUACAUAGUAGAACCAAAGAGAAAAAAUAAAUAUUUUUGUUCUUGCUUGCACGUUGUCCUGUAAAAAAUCAAAGAAUAUUGUAAUUUUUCCAAUCGUAUUUUACGCAAAACUAUAAUUUUUAAGACUGAAAAUAAUAAAAAUAAAUAUAUACUAUAAGUAUGGUGGCAAAAGAACAUCCAAGUGGCUUUCAAUUAUUUCCAUUGAGAAUAAGCGAACACGAAAAUUACAUUUAAAGGAUGUCUUAGAUAGACAAGUCGUUCAAACAAAGGCUCGUAAAGUUCUUUUUUAACUAUACAAUAUGUUAUUGUUUUUAAUAAACUUAUGUUAGUAAUAAAACAAAUUUACUAUUAUAAGUAAAAUUUUUUUUUAUUAACUUCUAGCUUUACUAUUUAUUAAUUGGAUUCGUCAUGGGAGCCUCUAUCUUCUAUAUAUAUCCCAGGGCCACCUGCAAGUUUCACGUUAUAGUCGUUAUACGGUAAGUCUUUUAAAAUAUAAAGCUGACAUACCGUCUCUUUCUGCUUGGAACCGUAUUUGUAUGCAACAUAUUGAAGUAUACUCGACACAGUCGACACCUAUACUACACAUUAAAACGACUUCCCCGGUUUCAUUUUUUUGUUGUUUCGUACAUUAUUAUGUUUCAAAAAGCAGCUUAUGAAUAAUAAUAAAAUUUAUAUCUACAUUUAAUUUACAUACAGUUGGUAGAACCUGUAGGUACACUUGAAGAAACAAUAAGCAAAAUUAUUCAUUGUAUUUAAUAUUAAUACUGGGUAAUAUUAACGGCCACUUUACUAUACUGUAGUACUAUAUUACUUUGUACUUUUUUGUGUACACAUUUCUAAUAUAUUUACAUUAUAAUACAGCUGGUAAUUUGUCACGAAAAAUUUAUAUAAUUCUCAGGGUAAUAUACAAUUUAUAAGCAUACUAUAGUAUACAACCAUUUUUUUAAACCUUUUGUCAAUUUGUUAUAUACCUAUAUAGUCAUAUUCAUUUGAUGUGAAAUUGUGAAAACAAUUUAAUAAGAUACUAAUUACUGUGUACAAUCUAUUUAUUUUUGUCUAAAUUUGUAAUAUUUUAAGAUAUUUGAAGUGUAUAACAGCGGCUUCUCGAUACUUUUAUUUAUUUAUACUCAUACAUUUUUGAAUGGUUAUACAUAAUAAUAGUUGCAAAAGACUGAGUGUUCGACGAGGAAAAACCUACUUGUGCUAUCCAAUAGCGCAUAAACCUGAUAAUUGUAGUAAGGCCAACUUGUAAGAUGAAGGACGCUACUAGAAAUAACGCUAUGUAAGAAUAAUUUAAAAAGUAAGUUUGAUUGUUCCAUUAUAU